GAUGAACGCUAGCUACAGGCUUAACACAUGCAAGUCGAGGGGUAACAAGAGAAAAGCUUGCUUUUCUUGUUGACGACCGGCGCACGGGUGAGUAACGCGUAUCCAACCUGCCUAUAACUAGGGAAUAACCUUGCGAAAGUAAGACUAAUACCCUAUGAUUUCCUUUGAUGACAUCAGAUUAGAAAUAAAGAUUUAUCGGUUUUAGAUGGGUAUGCGUCUGAUUAGCUUGUUGGCGGGGUAACGGCCCACCAAGGCAACGAUCAGUAGGGGUUCUGAGAGGAAGGUCCCCCACAUUGGAACUGAGACACGGUCCAAACUCCUACGGGAGGCAGCAGUGAGGAAUAUUGGACAAUGGGCGGAAGCCUGAACCAGCCAAGUAGCGUGCAGGAUGACGGCCCUAUGGGUUGUAAACUGCUUUUACACAGGAAUAAAGUUAGCCACGUGUGGUUAUUUGUAGGUACUGUAUGAAUAAGGACCGGCUAAUUCCGUGCCAGCCGCCGCAGUAA
rnacentral:rRNA from 1 species